GCGGCACGUGCUCCUGCGCCGGCAGGAGCCCAGAGCCACGGAGGGCAGCGCUUGCGACUCUGGCCUCCUGCCUGCGCAGGAGCACGCGCUCU
rnacentral:miRNA from 1 species